AUGCUUGUGGAUUUCAAUGUGGGCAAAACGUCAGGAGAGAAUGCUUCUGCAACUCAGGGCAACCCAGUGGUUCCAGCCAUGCCUUGGACAAGACAUCAUCGCUAUUGUGCGGUGAUCACUUUCGGGCGAGGUUUGUUUAUGGAGCGGGGUUGCCAUUGCCUUCCUCUGAGGCUGAGAGAGUGCGACUCGCCCAGGGCUAUUUAUUUAUACUGGUUUUCAAAGGCUGAGGGGAAAGAGAGGAGGGAAAGAGGCGCCUCUGGUCUAUGGGGAGAGCCACCCGAGAAGCACCCCACGGCCCUCCUCCUUUCCCAGUCUCUCCCUCUUCCCGCCUCUCCGCGGUUCAAGCAUUCCUCCCGCCCACUUUCACGCGUCCUCGCUCUCAAAUCUCGCGAGACCCUGCAAAGAAGGGCGGGAUCUUUGGGCGGGAGCGUCAAACGGUUGAAGAAAGCGGCGCGAAGGGGAAGGUCUGCCUUGGUGUCUGUGGCGCUCAGGUUGGCAGGAGUUGGAGCUAACAGCGGGCGCUCAAGCCGCUCCCGGGAUUUGAACCUGGCACCUUUCAGUCUGCAAGUUCAGCAGCUCAGCGCUUUAACGCACUUCGCCUCCGGGGCUCCUUUGGGAGAACAAAAAUCAAGUAGUAAAGAAUGGCGAAAUCCAAAGGGGAGUUCCGGUUUGGCAGCCAGACGAUGAGCAGCAGCAUCCUAGGGCUCUAGGAAUGCAACCCGAAGAUUCGAUCUUGGGAGGGUGUGUGUAAUCCCCUCCCCCAUAGCGGACAUUUGCAUGUUUUUGAACAGCUAGGUUGGUAGAAGCUGGGGCUAACAACAGGAGCUCACCCUGUUCCCUGGAUUCGAACCGCCAACCUUUCGAUCAGUCAGUUCAGCAGCUCAGUGAUUUAAUCCGCUGCGCCACUGGGCACAUCCCUCCCCCCAUUUCCCAAUCCCAACUCACAUUAGAUGUCUUCUAAGUCUUCUAUCUCCAGAGAUGGUUCACUAAGAGAAACAAAAAAAAUAAUAUAUAAGAACAUAACACUCAAAGGCUCCCCCAGCCCCAAAAAAGGCCCAGCCCACACCCAAAAAGUGAGAAGUUACCUCAAUCCCUGAGACAGCUGUCUCCAAAGUGCGUCGUUUCCUCCCCUGGCCAGGGUGAACUGAAAGAAAGAGAAGAGGAAAAUGACUAUUGAUAAACUUUCUCUGAAAACCUGAAAACCCUUCUCCUUUGCAGCAAGACAGUACACCUGCUUUUCACUCCUUACCCAGGAGUCAUACUUUUCUACUUGAAUGCGGCCCUGCCUCCUUCCACCCCGGCUCAGCUGUGAGGAUGCCAUCCAUGAGCGCUGUGAAAGAAAGAUGAGACUUUGCUGAAAUUCUGAUCUCUUCCCAGAAGUACAAUUCUCCUGCCUUUCCCUCCUUACCCAACUGUCCCAGGUGGUGAUUGUGGAGGAGGUGGAUUCCUGGGUCUCAACUGGAGCACUAGAGAAGAAGAGAAAAAAGCAAAACAUGGGCAGUAGAUUAAAACACAAUCAUUGGCACCAAUAUGUGCAGUCCCUUACCGCAUUUCUGGAUGGUAUCAGCCGGGAUGGGAGGAGGGAGGGCCUCAUUCAAGGAGAGUUCUUCAUUCAUGGGCACCCUGACCAGGGAAGGAGGAGGAAGAUCUGCCAGUCUGGACGCACAAUGGAGACAGCCGUUUCAGGAAGAGGAUAUGGAGAGAGACGGCUGUCUCCAAAGUGCGUCGUUUCCUCCCCUGGCCAGAGUGCACUGUCAAAGAAAGAGAAGAGCAAAGUGACUAUUGAUAAACUUCCUCUGAAGCCCUGACCUCCCCUUCCCCUUUGCAGAAAGGCAGUACACCUGCCUUUGGCUCCUUACCCAGGUGUCACACUUUUCUACUUGAAUGGGGCCCUGCCUCCUCCCAUCCCGGCUGAGCUUCAAGGAUUCCAUCCAUGAGCACUGUGAAAGAAAGAGAUGAGACUUUGUUGAAAUUCUGAUCCCAUCUUCACAGAAGUACAAUUCUCUUGCCUUUCCCUCCUUACCCAACUGUCACAUGUGAUUGUGGAGGAGGUGGACUGGGUGGUAUCAACUGGAGCACUAGAGAAGAAGAGAAAAAAGCAAAACGUUAGCAACAGAACCCUGUGUAACUAUUUUGAAGGGGAUCAAGGGUUACAACAGGAAAGCACCAGUGAAGGAAAAAAAAACAACCCAAAGUGAAGGAGGAAGGGCUUACUUUAACGGAUGGACUUUAAUAGAUCUACAACAAGGAAAAAAAUUCCUGCAGGUCUUCCUGAGGUUCUGCAAAGAAGAAAGGAGAACAAGGUCAGAGGGAGAAAGGAGUUGUCUUGAGAGAGGGGCUGUUUUAGGGCCAUUGCUCUUCCCGUCCCCAAAUCUGGGCCGUUCCUCCCACCCAAUAUCACCUGGAAAAGGGGGGAAGAGCAGCAUCCCUGACUUCCCCUCCUGGUGAUCUGGUACAAACAAACAAGCCAUAGGUAUUCAGUCCAACCCCCUUCAGUCAGGCAGG
ensembl:lncRNA